rnacentral:rRNA from 1 species
UCCAGACUCCUACGGGAGGCAGCAGUGAGGAAUAUUGGUCAAUGGGCGAGAGCCUGAACCAGCCAAGUCGCGUGAGGGAAGACGGUCCUAUGGAUUGUAAACCUCUUUUGCCGGGGAGCAAGGGCGGGGACGUGUCCCGGCCCGGAGAGUACCCGGAGAAAAAGCAUCGGCUAACUCCGUGCCAGCAGCCGCGGUAAUACGGAGGAUGCGAGCGUUAUCCGGAUUUAUUGGGUUUAAAGGGUGCGUAGGCGGGCUUUUAAGUCAGCGGUAAAAAUUCGGGGCUCAACCCCGUCCGGCCGUUGAAACUGGGGUUCUUGAGUGAGCGAGAAGUAUGCGGAAUGCGUGGUGUAGCGGUGAAAUGCAUAGAUAUCACGCAGAACCCCGAUUGCGAAGGCAGCAUACCGGCGCUCAACUGACGCUGAGGCACGAAAGUGCGGGUAUCGACCAGGAUUAGAUACCCUUGUAA